rnacentral:sRNA from 1 species
AGGGAGGUCUUCCAGGAUUUGGAGGGUACCGGCGCAUGGCUUUCGGGGGCUUCCCAUCAACUUUAGUUCCUUCCCCGGCAAAGCCUCCUCGGGCCCUAGCCAGGUUAAUUAAGGCUCUCUUCUGCGCACCUUCAGGGCAUACUCGGUCCAGCUUACCACGUUGUACAGGAAUUGUCUUGCUGAUAAAAUUGCGUUUCUCGGAGAGGCUCACAGGACACCUGCAUGCCCAAGGCACUCCACCGUAUGUGAUCAACCUGGAUCCAGCAGUACAUGAAGUUCCCUUUCCUGCCAAUAUUGGUGAUGAAAUUUAUUGAGAAGGCCCAGAACAUGUCCAAAUAUGUGUUGAUUGACACACCUGGACAGAUUGAGGUAUUCACCUGGUCAGCUUCUGGGACAAUUAUCACUGAGGCCCUUGCAUCCUCAUUUCCAACAGUUGUCAUCUAUGUAAUGGACACAUCGAGAAGUACCAACCCAGUGACCUUCAUGUCCAACAUGCUCUAUGCCUGCAGCAUCUUAUACAAAACCAAGCUGCCUUUCAUUGUGGUCAUGAAUAAAACUGACAUCAUUGACCACAGCUUUGCAGUGGAAUGGAUGCAGGAUUUUGAGGCUUUCCAAGAUGCCUUGAAUCAAGAGACUACAUACGUCAGUAACCUGACUCGUUCAAUGAGCCUGGUGUUAGAUGAGUUUUACAGCUCACUCAGGGUGGUGGGUGUCUCUGCUGUUCUGGGUACUGGAUUAGAUGAACUCUUUGUGCAAGUUACCAGUGCUGCCGAAGAAUAUGAAAGGGAGUAUCGUCCUGAAUAUGAACGUCUGAAAAAAUCACUGGCCAACGCAGAGAGCCAACAGCAGAGAGAACAACUGGAACGCCUUCGAAAAGACAUGGGUUCUGUAGCCUUGGAUGCAGGGACUGCCAGAGACAGCUUAUCUCCUGUGCUGCACCCUUCUGAUUUGAUCCUGACUCGAGGAACCUUGGAU